AUGAGAAAGAGAGAAGAGAGAGUUGUGAGGACGAAGAAGAAGGGCGCUGCGGCGAGGAGGCGGCGCCAGCUCGAGGUAGAAGAACAAGCGGUGCCGCGAGAGGUGGCGCCAACACCACAGUUUCUGGACCAGACUCCGAGUCACAUUCCCGUGCUGGCCCGGGAGCCACCUGUGCAUGGUGGCACGUGGGUGCUGACGGCGUAUGACAUCCGGGAGUACAAGCAGCCGGAGGGCGGCGGUGGGUCGGAGUGCACGAUUUGCCUCGGUGAGGUGGAGAAGGGGGAUAUAGUGAAGCGGAUGCCGGUGUGCCUGCACAUGUUCCACCAGCAGUGCGUCGACCCGUGGCUGCACGAGCACUCGACCUGCCCGGUCUGCCGGUGCAACCUCUUCGCGCCGUUGCCUGCCCAAAUGGUAUGA
rnacentral:rRNA from 1 species